rnacentral:misc_RNA from 1 species
GAUGAAGAACGCAGCGAAAUGCGAUAAGUAAUGUGAAUUGCAGAAUUCAGUGAAUCAUCGAAUCUUUGAACGCAUAUUGCGCCCCCUGGUAUUCCGGGGGGCAUGCCUGUUCGAGCGUCAUUACAACCCUCAAGCUCUGCUUGGUAUUGGGCCCCGCCAGUUCUGGCGGGCCCUAAAGUCAGUGGCGGUGCCUUCCGGCUCCGAGCGUAGUAAUUCUUCUCGCUCUGGAGACCCGGUUGUGUGCUUGCCAACAACCCCCAAUUUUUUAAGGUUGACCUCGGAUCAGGUAGGGAUACCCGCUGAACUUAAGCAUAUCAAUAAGCGGAGGA